UACGUAGGGUGCAAGCGUUGUCCGGAAUUAUUGGGCGUAAAGAGCUCGUAGGCGGUUUGUCGCGUCGAAUGUGAAAACCCGGGGCUCAACCCCGGGCCUGCAUUCGAUACGGGCAGACUAGAGUUCGGUAGGGGAGUCUGGAAUUCCUGGUGUAGCGGUGAAAUGCGUAGAUAUCGUAAGGAAGACCAGUGGCGAAGGCGGGUCUCUGGACAGUUCCUGACGCUGAGGCACGAAGGUCAGGGGAGCAAACGGG
rnacentral:rRNA from 1 species